rnacentral:rRNA from 1 species
UGCGCAGGCGGCCGUGUGUGUGAGGCGUGAAAGCCCGGAGCUCAACUCCGGAAUUGCACCUCAAACUACACGGCUAGAGCAUUGGAGAGGGUAGCAGAAUUCACGGUGUAGCAGUGAAAUGCGUAGAUAUCGUGAGGAAUACCAGAGGCGAAGGCGGCUACCUGGACAAUUGCUGACGCUCAGGCACGAAAGCGUGGGGAGCAAAAGGGAUUAGAUACCCCUGUAGUCCACGCCCUAAACGGUGCACACUAGGUCUUGGAGGAUUCGACCCCUCCAGGGCCCAAGCUAACGCGUUAAGUGUGCCGCCUGAGGACUACGGCCGCAAGGCUAAA